rnacentral:rRNA from 1 species
CCUACGGGGGGCAGCAGUGGGGAAUAUUGGACAAUGGGGGCAACCCUGAUCCAGCCAUGCCGCGUGUGUGAAGAAGGCCCUCGGGUUGUAAAGCACUUUCAGUGAGGAAGAACGCCUGGUGGUUAAUACCCAUCAGGAAAGACAUCACUCACAGAAGAAGCACCGGCUAACUCCGUGCCAGCAGCCGCGGUAAUACGGAGGGUGCGAGCGUUAAUCGGAAUUACUGGGCGUAAAGCGCGCGUAGGUGGCUUGAUAAGCCGGUUGUGAAAACCCCGGGCUCAACCUGGGAACGGCAUCCGGAACUGUCAAGCUAGAGUGCAGGAGAGGAAGGUAGAAUUCCCGGUGUAGCGGUGAAAUGCGUAGAGAUCGGGAGGAAUACCAGUGGCGAAGGCGGCCUUCUGGACUGACACUGACACUGAGGUGCGAAAGCGUGGGUAGCAAACAGGAUUAGAUACCCUUGUAGUC